AAAAUCCUAGCUUAAUUAAAGUAUCUGAGUUGCAUUCAGAGGAUGCAGGUUAGUGUCCUGCGGGUUUUA
rnacentral:tRNA from 1 species